GAACGCAAGUUGCGCCCGAAGCCAUUAGGCCGAGGGCACGUCUGCAUGGGCGUCACGC
rnacentral:rRNA from 1 species